CUCGUAGGCGGUUCGUCGCGUCCGGUGUGAAAGUCCAUCGCUUAACGGUGGAUCCGCGCCGGGUACGGGCGGGCUUGAGUGCGGUAGGGGAGACUGGAAUUCCCGGUGUAACGGUGGAAUGCGCAGAUAUCAGGAGGAACACCGGUGGCGAAGGCGGGUCUCUGGGCCAUUACUGACGCUGAGGAGCGAAAGCGUGGGGAGCGAACA
rnacentral:rRNA from 1 species